UUCUGUAGGUGGUUGUAUAAGUCAGUGGUUAAAUCUUCCGGCCCAACCGGAAAACCGCUAUUGAUACUGUACGACUAGAGGUAAUUAGGGGGUAGCGGAACGUAUGGUGGAGCGGUGAAAUGCGUUGAUAUCAUACGGAACACCAAGGGGGAAGCCAGCUACCUGGGAUUCACCUGACACUGAGAGACGAAAGCGUGGGGAGCGAAAC
rnacentral:rRNA from 1 species